UACGUAGGGUGCGAGCGUUAAUCGGAAUUACUGGGCGUAAAGCGUGCGCAGGCGGGCUUUUAAGCCAGACGUGAAAUCCCCGGGCUUAACCUGGGAAUGGCGUUUGGGACUGGGAGUCUGGAGUGCGGCAGAGGAGACUGGAAUUCCUGGUGUAGCAGUGAAAUGCGUAGAUAUCAGGAGGAACACCGAUGGCGAAGGCAGGUCUCUGGGCUGACACUGACGCUCAUGCACGAAAGCGUGGGGAGCAAACCGG
rnacentral:rRNA from 1 species